CAGCAGGAGGAGAGAAAAAAAAGACUGACUGCAAGGCUUAAUUAUCAUCUUUUGUAUGCUGUUUUAUACCUAGUGCUGGUACUGUUUACUGUUAUAUGUGUAGACCUAUAUAUAAAAGCGUUGAAGACGUAGUGUAAAGCUGAUUUUUUUUUGGUCUCUCUUUCUUUCGCGCGUGCUCUCUCCCUCUCUCUCUCUCUCUCUCUCUCUCUUGAGCAGCGAAUCCGUCCUGAGUUUCCAAGCGAAAGUUGCAUGGAGACACACAGCGUAAGACGCGUGUAAUGAAGAGAAUGGUGAGAGAGGGAGAGAUAAAAGAGAAGGAAAGCGGCAACAAACUCAUACCAAGCGAGAUCACAACAGAUCUCCACCGAUUAGUUUACGAGUUGUUUUAGGCAACAGAAAAAAGGGCAUCUUGGCAGUAUUGUAACCAAAAACCACUGCAUCGAUGCAACAGAGCCGACUCGGAGCUCUUGCACGGAGUUGGAGAGGCAGAAAUUAAUGUACAUUGCAUGCACUCCACGUAACGCUCCGGAGCGAUGCCUUUGUGAGUGUUUUUUUUCGUACUGCGAGCUAAAAAUAGCAGCAGUGUUUGAUCGCGCUCCAGAAAUAGGCAGUGGGGUAACACAAGUAUAAAAAGGACUGCAAUUCUGAGAAACCUUGGACAUUGCUGAGCAAGGGCUCGCUGCAUAGCUUCAUGGACAUUAAAACGCCAUCUCUCUCUCGAGCAGGAAUCUCACAUAUCGUAAAUAUGACAGCCACAAAAGCAAGACCAAACUCAUUUGUCUGACGGCGCUGUUGAGCCAUUUUACGCUUUCUGUCUUCGCUACAACUGAAAGUUCGCGAAUGGAAAUCCCUACCAUCAGAUGAACACCGGGUGAUGUUGGUUUAAUAAAUGAAGAGGACACUAGAUGAAAGCAUGCACAGGAAAGAAGGAGUGCCAUGGGGCGCUAAAGGAGCGCUGCACCGGAGCCGACAAGAGGGGAACCCACAGGCUGCACAGUUGGGCUGAAAACACAAUGUGGCGUCAAGGGGAGCCUGUGCUACUGCUUGACCUGCGCCAAAAUUACUCUCAACUAGGCAUAGCUUCUUCUUCUUCUUCUUUUUUUUUACAUAGAUAUAUAUAUAUAUAUAUCGCCCGCAGAUGGACGCAGCAGCGCAGGCAGUCUGCUUCUCAGAGUCAUUCGAAAUGCAUCCUUAAGUUUCGUACUCAUAACUCCGCAUGACAGUUUUCCCGCCUGCUUUGUUCGUACAAUUCAGUUUGCAGUUAGAAGCUAAAGAUAAUAUGGCAAUAGGCGGGCUGACUUGGAUUACUCUUCCGCCCACGUCAUUUUCAUUAUACAGCUCUGCAACAGACUGUUUUUUUUUUCGUUGCUAUGAACUGAAAUACAGCUCUGCUGCUGGCACAUAUGCAUUCACUUUGUAUUUGUCAGUGUUGUCUACAGAGUAUCACCAGCAAUCACAAAAUGACGUCUGCCAGUACUCUUGACUUGACAGAUUGGUAACUCCGAGUCUGCAGCACACAGACGUCGCCGAAAUUUGGCACAAAUCUGUCGAAGUGCACGCUUUAGAGUGAGAAUACUUGCGCGUAAGAAACAACAGUUGGUAGGCGCAGCUAUCACGAUACAUCGUGCCAAAGAGCACCGUUACCACUGUAACAAUGUUGCUCGCAAGAGUCGACAUGGAUGGCAGAUUUCAGGUUUAUACGAGCCUUUUCUACCCGAAUAUCCGUCAUCCUAUUUAUCAUUGUUUAAUACCUACCAAGAUACAAUAGCCACAUGAAACAGACAAAAUUUGAAAUUGGCAAAUUAGUGCUACCAGGCAUGUAAACUAGGAUUCGGUGAGCACUGCUUGCUUACAUGGGAAACGACAAAACGAUGUAGAUAACCUUGACCUUAAGACCAUGUGGCUUUUCUUUGUUAAACGCACCUAGUCCAGACAUGCCAAGAUCUUCUUAAAUAAUGCAAUACUGGCGGUGUAAUUUUGGUGGCAAAACAGAUUUCUCGGAGUCGUGACUGCUAUAGUGAGUAAUAUGGGCGCGUUGGCUGCGUCAGGAGAUGCAGUCGCUGUGCGCUGCAGACGGAAGGGGGAGAAUCGUGACUGAAUGCUGGAGACGUCCGCAAACGAAACGACCACCCAAUAAAAUCCUCUUAAUGGCAUCUGGGCAAGAUAUUUACACAUGUUAUCUCUCUAGCCCUUUACUCUUUGCGUUGAGCCACCUCAACCUCCCUUUGCACCACCGAAGACAUGAGAAGAAUAUCUGUGAUUAAGGGGCGGGAGGGAGGAUCUUGGUUUGGGAUGAGUUCCGACUGGCGUGUGUGUGUGUUUGUGUGUGUGUGUGAGAGAGAGAGAGAGAGAGAGAGAGAGAGAGCGUAUGUGUGUGUGUGUGUGUGUGUGUGUGAGAGAAAGAGAGAGAGAGAGAGAGAGAGAGAGAGAGAGAGAGAGAGAGAGAGAGAGAGAGAGAGAGAGUGUAUACCGGGUGGGGAGGGGGGUCCAGAUAUAGAUCGUGACCCUCCCACCUAGUACAGUUUCUUGCAUAUAGUUCCAAAAAGGGAUUGCCAGAGACUUUGUGGUGCAUUUUGACAAAUGAUUACUAUGUGGAUAUAAGAACAGGAAUUCUCUGGGUUUACAAAAACUUCUAGAAGGAGUCUAGUUACUACAGACGUCUCAGCCUGUCCAUGGUGCUGCCCCAUGCAUACUGUUCACCUCGGCCCCUACCACCUGUGAUGAUGGCCUAGCUGAAGGCCUCACUUCAGAACCAUAUGCGAGGAUAUCUUACAACAGAUACCUGUCAGUAUUGUAAUAUUUAGCUCUAACAAACAGCUCCCAAUUAUAUCAAAGCAAUCAUGAGUAUUUCAGAACCUCAUAAGGGGUAUAGGCUACCAGUCAAACAUUUAGACACACCAUCCCAUAGAAGAGGUUUCUUCAUUCUUGCAUUCUUCUUAGAAGAAUGGAGACAUUAACACUGUAAAGUUAUAAAUGUGGAGUGACCAAGAAACAAAACCUUUAAUAUUUUUAAAUUCUUUUAGAUUUAGUGUUCUUGAUCAAGCUUUGCAUAUUCUUGGCAUUUAGAAACCCUGAUUCAAGACAGAGUUUCAGCAGUGAGGCUUAAAUAAGGCUGAACACUUGUUGUGUACUUGUUGUGUGCUUGUUCUAAGUUCUAAAUGUAAUUGUUUUAGGGAACCCAUUCAGUUUCAAGAAAAAUAAAUACUUAUUUUAUUUACUUAAAAAUCUAUUCAGUAUUGUUUCCCCAAAAAUAAAUGUAUACAUGACUAAAGGCACUAAACUGUUAUCAAUGCAUGUAAAAUGUAUAUGGACAUGGACAUGGACAGUUUUGGUCCACAAAUCAAGUCCUGUAAUAUAAGACGUGCCCCACACUGGACCUGUUGAACUAUAUGAGACGUAAGGAGCUUGUGAUGGUGAGGAUUAGUGAGUCUAUUAACCGUACUGAUAAAGUCUUUCACUUUUGUGAAAAGUUCUUCAAAUAUCCCAAAAAAAUAGGUGACUCAAUUAAUCAAUUCAACUGAAAAAUGUAAUAUGAAGACUUCUAAGGGAAGUAACGUGUACGUAUUUAAUGUAUCUAAACACACUUUUGAGAGAAGACACUGUUUCUAGCCAUUGUAGGUCAUUUCAUUGAAAAAGAGUCUUUCCUUUUUCUCUCCACAUCUGAUCAGCUCAGUGAAGGUCCAGUUCUCCGAGGUAUUAUAGGCAGGAACUCUCUCUGCUGCUCUCAUUUUUCAUUCAUUCAUUCAUUCUUUCUUUCAUUUAUUCAUCUGCUGUAACUACUUUAUCCUGGUCAGGGAUGCCAUGGAUUCCAGAACCUAUUCCAGGAACACUGAGUGAGUGAACUGAGAAUUACACACUGAAUUUAGUCCAUUGAAGAGAAACAUGCAUACAUUCUCACAUUCAUUCACAUCUAGUGGUCAUUUAGGGCUGCCAUGUUUUUGGUAGGUGGUAGAAAACAGGAUGUCCUGGAGUGAAACUCUGCACCAAGAGUCACCUGAUCUGGAGCUGGGAGAUAGCAACUGUGCUGCCUGCUCUCAAAUAUUUUCAGGAAAACUUAAACUUAAAAUGGAUUAGAAAACAAUAGUUUUUAAUUAAUAGAAAAAAAAGCAUGCAUGUGGUCUCGGAAUUCACGCAAGCAAAAAGUUGACAGUGAAAGUGUUAAACCUGAUCAACACCAGGGCAAAUCUGGACACAGUGGUGUUUAGGUGUUGACUUUAAUUUAAAGCACAUUGUUCUCUGAAUGCAAAUCAUUUUGUCUCUCUAAUAAUGCUUCUACCCUUAAUCUCUGUUCACUGUCUUUUUUGAGAUUAUGGAGGUCUGUAGAUCCACAUGUCUAUCUGAGGCACCAUCUCCAACGUUUUGCUGUAAAUGAGAGCGAGGCAGAAUCAAGGGACGAUAUGGGCAUGUGCUGAGAUCCAGAAUAAAGUGGAGGAAUCAGUCAACACAGCUAGGCAGCCAUUUAAGAAAAUCCACAAGAAGUUGGAUCUGCCUCGUGCAAUCUGUUUAUCUCAGUUCCAUAUGUCAAGAGGCCAUUUCUGCAGCUUAAUCAAGGAACAACAUGACAACUGAGCCUUAACAGAUAUUUAAACUUCUGUUUCUAAAAGCGCUGGUAUGCAUGGAUAUCACUAAUUGGUAAUUGGUGGACGUUGUAGUUUUUUUCAUGUUAGGGAAAUUUGAUCGUGUUUGGUGCCAUGUCAGUUUAGAGAGGCCUGUCGUGUUUUAACUUAGACAUGUGACAAAAAUGAAAGAUUAAAUAAAUGCAUGCAGAGUUUCUAAAAAGUUAUUUUUAGGGUUUUGAUUCUUCUUCUUUCUCACACAUCUAUGACUGGUGAAAGGCGACAGUUUCACACACAUUGUAAGGCCAUUAUUUUAAUCUGUCGUGAAGUUCUGUUGUACUACAAACAGUUAUAAAGGGGCUCUGCUGAAACGUGUAUAAGAAGUUUAUUAAUAGAAAAGUGUGGUGGUGUGAUUAUAUGGUAGAUAACGUGCCCAUCAUGAGCAGCCAUUGGAAUGAAAGGCGUGACUGUUAUUGCAUGUGACGGAGAUAUUAGUAUGUUAAGGUAUAUGUGUGAGCAUGAAGGUGUGCAUUUAUAUAUAGUGUAUAGAAAUGUGACUGCAUGUGCCUGUCUCUGGGUUUGUCUGUGAGCCUUGGUCUUAGAUCUGUAAGUCCCUGUGUACAAGUGAAAGGUAAGGUUACCAAGUAAGUGUGCCAAGAAUUACGUGUGUGUGUGUCUUAGUAUCUGUACUGGUUGUUGCGUCUCUGGCAAAGUUUGGGGUUGCGUGUUCAGGAUGUGUAGGAUCUGACAUAUUGUAAAGAGAAAUCUGACAGAAUGAAAUCAUUUUAAAUGCAUUUUAUUUGAUAUUUUAUUUGUACUGGACUCUCAUGAUGUAAAAAUGUGUGCAUUUACCAUGCUGUCUUUCUCCUUGUCCGGAGCAGAUCUGUGAUAUUUGGACGUUUUUAUGAGCUGGUCGUUUACAGUGUUUCUAAACAAAUCUGGCAUGACAUAGUGAUCAGUGUAUUUCCAUUACAUAGGUUAGAGGAACCGUGUCAGUGUGUAUGACCACAUGAUUGUACAAUUAUUUUGACGCUUAUAAGCAAUCACUGUCUAUAUUCAGCAAUACUGAGUUGCUAAAAACAUUCUGUUGUUCAUGUUUCAUUCAUAAAUUAACUGUAAGGAUGUCACCCACGUCAAAAUAGUAUAUUGUGAUUAUUUUUAAUUCAGAAGCUAGAUUUUGUAUUAAUUUGUGCCUUACCACGAGCAUGAAAAUAUGCCAUAUAUAUAUAUAUAUAUAUAUAUAUAUAUACGCAUGUGGUCUGUGUGUGUCUGUGAAGUUUGAUGAAUUGCAUUUUGCAUGAAAAGAUGCAGAAUUCUCCAGUGUGUGUGUGUGUGCGGGUUCUCAUGACUCAGAAUUGUAUACUGUAAUAUAAGGAAGCUCUAAGGUGCAUAUAGAAGAUCAGGUAAAGACAAACAGUACUCUACAGAUUUUUUUCAGGAUUAUGUAACCGCAGUUCUGUGUGUAAAAUGGAACGUCAUAUACAUUUUUGGAGCAAAAUGUUAAAUCAUGAGAUAAUAUUAUUGCUUGGAAGGUAAUUAAAUCUAAGGGAGAGGGGGAAAUAUUAUUUUAUAUAUUAGUGAAACCUGUGGAUGUGCUUAAAGAGGACGUGGAAUUUUCUUUGUGUUUGUGUGUGUGUGUGUGUGUGUGUUAUAUGUAUCUGUCGCUGUGUUUGAUUGUAGCUGUCAAAAAACAUGAAUAACAUAACCUAAUUGUCUAUUAUUUGCUACAGCUUUCUCAGUGUUUAAAUAUUCGUUUGUAUUUGUGUUUUUUUUUUUUUUUCUUGUAUCAUUAAGGCCAGGCUGAACAAAAACUUGUGGUUGUGUAUUUGCAGAAACCUAAAAAUGACGAUAUAAGCAGAUGACCGUCUUGCACACGUGCACAUGGAUAUGGAUAACUGCGCUGAAACUCACUUGGGAUUAUUCUAUACUCGUCGAGUGCAGCUGCUUAAUUAAGGACAACUUUGACACCGUCAGGUAUUUAAGUCUCUGUCUCCAUAGGGCUUGCGUUGGAAGCAGUAUGCAGACAUUGAGAACGUUGCCAUUUCCUGUCGUUUCUUCAUGCAUAUGAUGCAUGCAGUAGUUUAAAAAAAAUAAAAACAAAAACAGAAGAAAAAGUGUUGAAUUAAAUUCUGAAGGGUGAAGUAAAAUAUUUGCCAUUCUGAAUUUGGCUUGUUAGAGCACGACUGCGUGUGUGUUUGGUUUGUCUGUAACUAGGCUGCUGUGUGUCAGGGACAGUGGGUGAUACUGUAAGGUCGAGCACAGGGUCUCAGACAUUGUCCUAAAAGACAAGGCGUGGUUUUUUUUGUGCAAAGGUUUUUUUUUGUGCAAAUGGUUAUCGUAGGACGAUGCUUAGAAAAAUAAGUCUUUGUUCCUGUUGACUAAAUGUCAUGACAGCUUUUCUAUUUAGAUGUAAUACGUGCAAAUGUGUUUUGUUAAAAAGAAAUCCGUGGCUUUUUUUUGUCUUAAAGCAUAGACAAGAAGUCACGAGGUUCGUUUCUGGCUUUUUGAAGCGCAAUAAAUGUCGAGAAGGUCGCUGUCCACUGCAAAGGUGCUGAUAACGAUAACCUGCGUACAAACGUUUAAAUCUCAGUGUGUUACUGUCAGACUAUAUGUUAGGUAAAUUGCCUAUAAUUGUUUUAUAGCUUCUAUAGGGCGUAGUGAUGUUAAGGUGUGAUUCAGACACUCAGUGCAUUGUAAACCAUAACGACGUCCACGGCUUCGGAUCAAUUACAUUCUCAGACUUCAGUGUCCGAAAAGAAUAUCGUCGAGAGACACGAAGACAAUUGCAAAUGUAAUACACAAGCCAUUCAGAAAGCAAGAGAAAGGUGAAAGCUGUGAAUACGUCGAUACUGCAGGUGGGGUGAGAGUGGCUCAGGGCGAGGAUGUGUGUGUGUGUGCAUGUACUCUUUGGGUGGAGUAUCUUCAAAAUACUGAAUAUGAAUGAUUUCAAUUAAAAUUAAAAUAAAACAAGAGGCAACUUGUGGGGAAAAAAAGGCCAAGUCUGUAUGUCCGAACACAUUUAAUCCACACUGUAAUCCGAAGCUCAGCUGGAGCAUCAGUGUAUCUAUCAAUAGCAAAGUAUUUUGAUGAAUAUAUGUAUUUAUAUUUAGAGCAAAGCACUGAUAUAUUUUUUUUAAUAUACAUCUGAAAUGGUGCUGUAAAUGUAAGAUGCAAUAAUGUCUGUUUCAUUGUUGUUCUUUGUAUCUGAUAUUUGCAAAGCUGAGAUUUCACUGCUGUCAAAUCGAGUAGCCUACGAGAUAAUGUCCUGUUUGUUGUACAAAUCUGGAUCCAUACAUAUACGUUGCAUUAGGUGUUUUAAGGUUUUAAUGUUUAGUUUAUUUUGACAUAGUUGCAUUGUAUCAUUUUCCUUUAUUGCUUGUCCUGUUGUUUUAUUUUAUAGCUCAAAUAAAUAAAGCUUGCAUUUAAUUGUGCACA